rnacentral:sRNA from 1 species
UUAAAUAUUCCAAUAGAGUAGGUCCUG